CGAUGUCUACUUGGAGGUUGUGCCCUUGAGGCGUGGCUUCCGGAGCUAACGCGUUAAGUAGACCGCCUGGGGAGUACGGCCGCAAGGUUAAAACUCAAAUGAAUUGACGGGGGCCCGCACAAGCGGUGGAGCAUGUGGUUUAAUUCGAUGCAACGCGAAGAACCUUACCUGGUCUUGACAUCCACGGAAGUUUUCAGAGAUGAGAAUGUGCCUUCGGGAACCGUGAGACAGGUGCUGCAUGGCUGUCGUCAGCUCGUGUUGUGAAAUGUUGGGUUAAGUCCCGCAACGAGCGCAACCCUUAUCCUUUGUUGCCAGCGGUCCGGCCGGGAACUCAAAGGAGACUGCCAGUGAUAAACUGGAGGAAGGUGGGGAUGACGUCAAGUCAUCAUGGCCCUUACGACCAGGGCUACACACGUGCUACAAUGGCGCAUACAAAGAGAAGCGACCUCGCGAGAGCAAGCGGACCUCAUAAAGUGCGUCGUAGUCCGGAUUGGAGUCUGCAACUCGACUCCAUGAAGUCGGAAUCGCUAGUAAUCGUGGAUCAGAAUGCCACGGUGAAUACGUUCCCGGGCCUUGUACACACCGCCCGUCACACCAUGGGAGUGGGUUGCAAAAGAAGUAGGUAGCUUAACCUUCGGGAGGGCGCUUACCACUUUGUGAUUCAUGACUGGGGUGAAGUCGUAACAAGGUAACCGUAGGGGAACCUGCGGUUGGAUCACCUCCUUACCUUAAAGAAGC
rnacentral:rRNA from 1 species